rnacentral:lncRNA from 1 species
GCUGGGGAGUACAAAAGGGGGAGGCUCGCUUGGAGAGCAGGGACAAGAGAAGGCAGAGUGUGAGGCUGGCAAGGAGCAGGAGGAGGGGUGAGGAGAUGGGGGGCAAGAUCUCAGCUAAACAGGACCCAAAAGGAGAGAAAGCAACAAUAAAGGACAGACCUGUGCAAAAGACAGAUGAAUGGACAGAGCCCGGGGAGAGAUGACAGUUCAUCGGGGCAGGGGGUAUAUAUAUAUAUAUAUAUACCAAAAGACAAAGAUGGCUAGGAUAGGGAUUUGAAAGAUAAGGGUAAAAGGAAAGAAAACAGGGAAUAAGUAAGGAGACAAAAUAAGUAAUAAGAGUACAGGUACCAGUUAAAUGCUUCAAAAAUCACCAGGCUGUUAGGCUGAAGAAGCCCCACAGCCAUACCCAGGAGGGGACCAUCAGUAAAGACACAGGCAGGCAAUUUAAGUAGCUAGCUACUGAGGUAAAAAAAAAAAAAAAAAAAAAAAAAAAAAAAAAUGAAAAAAAUGAAAAAAAAAAAGAAGAUGGAAAAGGUGAGAAGCAGGAGAAAGAAAACCCAAAGGAGACACUGGCCCAGAAACCUUUUUAACUUUCUGUAAGAAUCUUCAAGGCCCCAAACUAGGCCAAGAUUCUGACUGACAUUUCUGAGCUCACCAGCUGCUGUUUCCUUGAGAGAAUUCUGACAAGAAGGCAUAGAAAUGCAAGCCAACACUGCCAGCUCUGAAAAAAAAAAAUAAUAAUAAUAACAACCCAUGCUCUAAACACCUCAAUGGGGCCGAAGCCUGCAGGGGAAGGAGGCGCACAGAGGAAGAGGGACCUGCCUGCAACUUUCCCCCAGGCUUGUACAACCGAUACUCAGAGGUACCAAAGGAUCCUUACACCCUGGAGGCUACGGUCACCUCCCAAGGGAGCUGCCCCCUGCUCUGGCUGGUCAAACGGAACCAAGUCCGUCUUCCUGAGAGGUUUGGUCCCCUUCAACCAGCUACAGCAGGGCUGGCAAUACCCAGUCCUUGGAGAAACAGAAGAGAUUCGCCUGAAGCUGAAAUUACUUAUUAAUGCUUCCCUUAAGGAAUGACUCUGAUUUUGUCAUAUACUCUCAUGCUCCUGGGAAGGGAGAAGAGAGGAGCCCUGGGUUCAAAAGCAAAGAGGAGUCUCAUGCUCUGCACAUAGAGGUCCAUGCCCUUGCAACCACAACUAGAACCGCUCCCAUGCUCUUGACACACGCAUUCAGCAAAGAUUUUGAGGAUGGAAUUUGUGCCAGCCAGGGGAAGAGUAUAGGACCUAGAAGACAGGGCUCCUGCUCACAGGGGGCCAACAGUCUAAGAAAUUAGACACAUGAAUAUGGCACAAUUCAAUGGAAUUGCGAGUCAAAGCACAGAUAGUUCCAAAACAUAAUUCUUCUCACAUAGUCCACCAAGUAUGCCUGGCACAUGGCACGCCAUCAAAUCUCUACCCAUCCAUACAGCCCCAAAUACCAUUUUAAGUGAAAAUACCAAGUCAUAGAGGACUGCCUGCAGCAUGGUACUAUUAUAUAAAAAACAAGCAAUAUAUUGUUUAGCAAUAAAUGCAUAAAUGAUAAAACUAUUAAAAAUAACAUUUAAAUUAUUUUUUAAAAAGGAAUUUGGAAUAAUAGUUGCCUCUGAGGUGAAACUAAAGAGAUAAAUUGGGAAAUGGCUUCAGGAAGCUUCAGCAGUAUUGGUAAGGUUCUUUUCCUGAGGUGGAUGGUUAUUUGUGGAAUUGCGAGUCAAAGCACAAAUAUCUAUUCACUAAGCAAUAUGCACAUGACUCAGUUCCCUGAUCUGUGGGAUGGGGAUAAUAAACAUACCACCUACCUCAUAUGGUUUUAUGCGGAAUGAAAGGAAAAUACAUGUAAAGGAGUUAGAAAGCUCUCAAUAAUUGUUAUCGAUUAUUAAGGGGGUUAUCCUGACCUGUCUUUUUUCCAAAAUGUAUCUCUUUGACAGUGCACCUGGGAGUGUACCCAGAACUUAGCUAAAGCUCAUAACAUUUGUUGUUUGAAUUCCAGAAGCAUGCGUGUUUUCACAUGCUGUGCUCUGACAGUGUGGUCUCAAUGCCAAGAGCCCACCAUACCUCCACACAGGGGAUGUGGUGCUUAUCCGUACAUACCUGGGAGUCAGGGAGACCCAGGUUUGGAUCCUGCCCCUCUCACUUUUUAGCUCUGCGACAGCCUCUCUGAACUUUAGUUAACAUUGCAGAAACCUUAGUUUCCUCAUCCAUAAAAUGGGGACAAUGAUACUUAAAGCUGAUUUAAAGAUUUAAAAGGUUAUGGUUACAAAGAGCCAAAUAUAAGCCCUCAAGAAACAGUACCUGUUGUUUUGCUAUUGUACAUGGCAACAGCUCAAGGCUGAUGUUGGGUCCUCAGGCACCUGACAAAGGGAAGAUGAGAUUUUUAAAAUAAAAUAAAAAAGAACUCAAAAAAUAAAUAAAACCUCCUUACAGGAUCUUUUUAUUUUCCAAUUAUUAAUUCUAUUAUCAUGUAGCAUGCAUUCACCCUUACAUGUGUUACUAGUAUGUAAUAAAAUAUACUAUUAAAAACUGCUUCAUACAUGGGACUGAUCUUAAAGAAAUAUCCUGACUGGGAAGCCUUCACUUGUGAGCAGUGCUGAGAUGCUAGUCUGUAACCAUACGUCCUCCUGAGUACAUGAAGGCCACAGAGUGUGUAUUCCAAAGGUGUGGAGUUUAGACAUAAGCACAGGAGGCAGAGUGCCUGGGCUCAAAUCCCAGAAUUCCUACCCACUCCCACCAGCUGCGCCACUUUGGGCAAGCUGCUUGACCUCUCUGGUUAUUUCUUUAUUUGUAGAAUGGAGAUAUUGAUAAUAGCAUCUACCUUGUAGGGUUUUCGUAAGAAUGAAAUAAAAAAUACAUGGAAAUGAAUAAAACUAGUGAUGGGUACAUAAUAUGUUUUUAAGGAUUUUUAUCUUUGAUAAUGUACCUGAAAUGUUCCUGGAACUAAAUUGGUGUUCAAUAAACACUUAUUU